rnacentral:snoRNA from 1 species
AUGCUCUUCAAAGCUGUUUGAUAAAGAGGCUAACACAGGAGGGUAAAGAAAAUCUCCAUAAAACCCAGAGAAGAGAUUUUAGAACUCCUCUCUGGAUCCUAUCUGGAGUCACAACU